GAGUUGUAGGUGUAGGCGUCUGAUUGCUACCGUUAGAUACGGAGCCGUUCAAUCGGGAAUCCAAGGUACUCGGCAUGUCCAACGUAUCACUGGGAUCUUGUUCUUCAUCCGUCUCACUACCUGGAGCAGCAGCGUGGAGUACUCUACAGGAUCCAGAUGGCCGCCGAAAAACUCGAAAAGGGUAGUCAUUACCCUGACGACCUCAUCCAUCGAAGGUCGCUCUUCAGGCACUUUCUUCCAGCAUCUAAAUCCAGUGAACAUAUUUAAUUAUUGUUUUGGACAUCCAUCCAUCAGAGGAGGUCGUUGUCCCAUGUGCACUGCCCACAUAAUCCGGUACGCGGAACCGCCUAUGUCGUCAAAUGGUUUCCGUCGCGACAAGAUCUCCCAGAGGAUGACACCCCAACUAAAGACAUCGCACUUUUCCGUGUAACGGGAGCCUUCGAAUACUUCCGGGGCCAUCCAGGCGGCAGAACCCUUGUUAUUGGUCAUAUCCCUAUAAAGCGUUCGAACGUUCAGUAGAUUUCCUGUGGCGGAUGUGAAUACCGUCAAGAUGAAUACCAAGGGACAAACUAUUCGUCUUUUAGUUUUAGCAAGGAUUGAUCAAUGAUUUUAUAGAAUUAUAAUCAAUUCCCACGUGCUACCACGUACAAAAAGAAUCUGAUCCUUGAUCAAAAUCACCCAAAGGAUUGAGACUCGAUUCACCAAGUAACGUACCAUUGUACAGUGAUCCACCCUCAGCAUACUCCAUCACCAGGCAUACAGGAUU